UUGUUCUCCUCUUUCCAACCUACCCCGCUCGACCGCCGCCGCUCCUGCACCACUCGCCGCCGCCGCUCCUGCACCGCUCGACCGCCGUCUCUCCUGCACCGCUCGCCGCCGGUAACAAAUCGGGUUCUGGUCUCCUUUGGUACGGGAACAAAUCGGACCGGUUGUCAUUACCCUAAUCUCUAAUUUUGAGUUCUGGAGGGUCGGAUUGAUUGGCACUGUAUGUGGAUUGUCGGAAAGGUCGGAUCUUUCCGUUGUCUUUUUCGCGUGGUCUCGGUUGUGCCCAUCGGAACCGCCGUUGAUCGGCGAAAAGAUUUGUGCCCCAUUAGUUUUUUCGGUCACCGGUCUCGGAGCCGGCGGCCAAGAUUCGUUCUUGGAGUCGAUUUCUAACGCGGACCGCUCUGGUGAGACGGAUUUGGCCUCGUAUACGCCGGGUCGUUCUUCGCCGUCGUCGCCAUGGCGAGCUCGUCCGGGUGGGUCGAUUACUGGAGGAAGUUCUUCCGAAGCGCCAACUCCGACAUCUUCGAGGUCAUCGAGCAAGCGAUCCUGGUGGGAUCAGAUCGUGGAGAAGCUCUUCGCCGCGCUGCUGCCGCGGUGCUUCGGCUCUGACCGCGUCGAGCUGAGAGGGGCCGAGGGGGACGGCAGCAUGAGGAGGCUCGGAGAGAAGGAGAGCAAGGCGGACAGCGGUACCGACGGGCCCGAGUCCUUGAACGGGGCGGUGAGCAACUAGACGAAUGACGAGGCGGAGGCACUCACGGAGGAUAUCGAAGAGGAGGGCCAGAUCGUUGGAGAGGUCAUGAGGCUCAAAGAUAUUCUCGGAAACCAACAUGAUGAGUCUGAUGCUGUCUUGUCGGAGUCUUUAAGGAGGCUGCAACUGAUGGAACUUUCUGUUGAUGUCCUCAAGGUGUUGAUCUUGCAUUCCUUUGUAUCCUUUUUGUUCUAUUCUGGACUCAGGAUCAGGAUCAGGACGCAUACACUAUUGCAGGAAUUUGAUGAUUUCAAAGUGCUUGUAACUCCUUCGCCCCCCCACCGUAUACAAUCGCACUUUGGAUUGCGCGUGAUCA